GGUAAAAAAUCGUAACAAGGUU
rnacentral:rRNA from 1 species